rnacentral:snoRNA from 1 species
UGCAAUUACUUUGUGUUUGUUCAACUGGGGAUAAAGGCAUGAAAGACAGGUGCAAAAAUAAAUCCUCUUUUCCAACCCAGAACUCAACUGUUCAGUAUGAGUUUUGAUACAUGUAAGAAGGAAUAUG